rnacentral:rRNA from 1 species
CCCUUAGAUGUUCUGGGCCGCACGCGCGCUACACUGAUGCAUUCAACGAGUCUAAAACCUGGUCUGAUAGGGCUGGGUAAUCUUUUGAAAGUGCAUCGUGAUUGGGAUAGAUGAUUGCAAUUCUUCAUCUUCAACGAGGAAUGCCUAGUAAACGCAAGUCAUCAGCUUGCAUUGAUUACGUCCCUGCCCUUUGUACACACCGCCCGUCGCUCCUACCGAUCGAAGAGUUAGGUGAAUUGUUUUGAUCGAUAAGAUUUGACUAUGGUCAACUCUCGUUGUGAAAUUCUGUGAAUCUGACUGUUUAGAGGAAGGAAAAGUCGUAACA